GCCAACUUGGUCUAGUGGUAAGACGUCUCUCUCACAACUCUAAUAAGAAUAGAGCAGAGAAGAUCGCGAGUUCGAUCCUCGCAGUUGGUA